CACUUUUAGACACAAUCUGUUCUGGGUCAAUAUUUGUUUCACCUUGGCAAAGCUUCCUAUACAAACCUGUGAUCAUAUGCCUUUGUUUUCUCACUUCAGGUACAAGAGAGGUGAGCACAAGAUGGGCCAAAUAUGAGAUGUGGAAUCAGGAAAAACAGAAAAAGUGGAAGAAAUGGCAAACGUGGACGUGAGAGCAGCUGGGUUUUCUAGCUCUGGGCGUCUGCAGGAAUCAUGUUCCAGGAAGGGCUGGGAGAGGCUGCGGGGAAAAGGAAGGGGUGCAGGGGAGUGUGCCCCACCCUUGCCCUGUGCCUGCAGGUGGGCCGGACUUGGACCCUGCCUGGAUGAUCUGCGAAGAAAUAGGGUUCCAAAAGGGCAGAUCCCAAGACAAUGCCUUAUAAAGGUCCUGGCUAACGUUUCCAUGGCAGCUUGCUGAGUGGCCGAGCUGAUCUCAGCCCUUCCAGGGGUGACUCAUUGACUCCUCCCAAGCUGGAGAGGUGAGAGUUCUUUUCCGGUUUACAUAUCAGGAAGCUGAGGCAUGGAAAGGUAGCUGGAGACCACCCUGGCUGAGCUGUGAUCAGUCGCAUCUAGACUAGUUUGGUGUUUCAGAGCAAGUCUCUCAAAUGCCCUGUGCCUCAAUGCUCUCAUCUGCACGUUGGAAGAAAGAAUUCCUGCUUCCCAGAGCCGUUGGGAGGAGUAACAGAGGUGAAGUGUGUAAAGUACACACGAAAGGAACUCAGCUGACAGCAGCAUCUUCACUGGAGUUUUAAAAAUUCACUUGAAGGUAAUGGACUGAGAUUGCUUCUGUCCCAAGGACCAGCGGGAUCCUGGCGAGGUGUGGGGUUCCAAGUUCCAGUUGCCACAGUAUCAAAGUCUUAGCCAUCUCCUCAUUUCCAGAUCUUUUUCUAAUAAAAGCACUGUUUAAAUGUCUCA
rnacentral:lncRNA from 10 species